AUGAACGCUGGCGGCGUGCUUAACACAUGCAAGUCGAACGAAGCACUUUGGACAGAUUCUUCGGAUGAAGUUUUUGGUGACUGAGUGGCGGACGGGUGAGUAACGCGUGGGUAACCUGCCUCAUACAGGGGGAUAACAGUUAGAAAUGGCUGCUAAUACCGCAUAAGCGCACGGUACUGCAUGGUACAGUGUGAAAAACUCCGGUGGUAUGAGAUGGACCCGCGUCUGAUUAGGCAGUUGGCGGGGUAACGGCCCACCAAACCGACGAUCAGUAGCCGGUCUGAGAGGAUGAACGGCCACAUUGGAACUGAGACACGGUCCAGACUCCUACGGGAGGCAGCAGUGGGGAAUCUUCCGCAAUGGGCGAAAGCCUGACGGAGCAACGCCGCGUGAGUGAAGAAGGUCUUCGGAUCGUAAAGCUCUGUUGUCGGGGACGAAUGUUGAGGCCUAGAAUAUAGGUUUCAAAUGACGGUACCUGACGAGGAAGCCACGGCUAACUACGUG
rnacentral:rRNA from 1 species